UACGGGGGGAGCAAGCGUUGUUCGGAUUUACUGGGCGUAAAGGGCGCGUAGGCGGCCACCGCAAGUCGACUGUGAAAUCUCCCGGCUCAACUGGGAGGGGUCAUUCGAUACUGGCGGGCUCGAGGCCGGUAGGGGGAAGUGGAAUUCCCGGUGUAGUGGUGGAAUGCGUAGAUAUCGGGAGGAACACCAGUGGCGAAGGCGGCUUCCUGGACCGGUUCUGACACUGAGGAGCGAAAGCGUGGGGAGCGAUCCGG
rnacentral:rRNA from 1 species